rnacentral:lncRNA from 1 species
GCAGAGCAUGGUUGAGAAAGCAGAGGAUACAAUUUACCAAAGGCAUUAUGUAUCAGAGGAAAGGCUCACAAGGUUAUUGAAUAUGAAGGGCGUUGUCAGGUAAAAUCCAACAAUGGAUCGGGCGAUCCACAACGGAGCUGAUGUGAGUAUCGGUACUCAAUCAGAGGAAGAAAGAAUGCACGGGCAUCAUAUUAUAGGACAACUGAAUAAUUUGAUGCUUAGAUAACAAAGGAAUUAUGAUUUCCAAAACAAAGGAUCAGAAGCAGACGCUCUAACCAAGGAUGGAUAAGUUCAAUAGACUUAGGGGCACAACCGACGGCAAUUGAUUGGUCGAGAACCAGCUCAUGUUCAAAAAUGACGUCUGAGCCGGAAGGAGGAAUUCUAGGAUCUGUUUGAGGAUUGCGAGCAUUCGCAACAAAUCGAAUCAACGGACUCAAAUGAUAAUGACAAUGGAUGUCAACAAGAUUACUAGACUUAUGGGAUUAACCAUAAUGCAAGUAAUCAAGAAUUUCAAGAGCAAUAGGAUGCUCAGGAUUUUCAGAAGAUCGAAUGGUAUUUCGAGGAUUCGUGACAUACAUGCAUCAACUGGGGAUGAGUGGAUACUCGGUAAGUGCGAGAAAUUAUCCGUAGGGGUAUUCAGGCGACAAGGAACUGCAAGGCAGUAGGCACAAAAGGAUUCUCGGAACAUUAGAGAGAAUUUCGGGGUAUCUUGUAAUAACAAGAUCAACUGGGAAUAAAAGUAAGAACGACAGGUGUAAAUAUUUAUCCAUAGGGAUGUUUCGGUGGUAGGGAAUUGCAAAAGCGACAGGCAUAAUGUCUCGAGAGAAUAUCAGAGAGUAUCUUCAAAAUCUUCUGGCGCAGUAGGCGAUCAUUUGUGAUAAUGGGCUCUCCGGGAGAAAGUAGUUACGAGAACCUAGAGUCAGAUUUAGUAAAAUUAUUUAACCCGAAUAGAGGAGAGAUUAUAGUCCCAGAGUAUAGGUCGAGGAAUAAAAGAUCCUAGUACCACCCAAUGGCGACGUGUGCCCAUAAGACACACAGCCAUGUUAGUAAAAGUUUUGCAAUGUCUAGACUCGACUUCGGCCAAGGAGUUGGAAGGGGGAUUCCUAUAGGCAGUCGGCUCUCAUACCAACUUGUGACGCCCCCAAUUCAAUCAUACACUAACCAUGCACGCAAACGUGUACGAUCAAGAUCAGGGACUCACGGGAAGAUAUCACAACACAAAUCUAAAACAUAAAUAAGUCAUACAAGCAUCAUAAUACAAGCCAGGGGCCUCGAGGGCUCGAAUACAAGUGCUCGAUCAUAGACGAGUCAGCGGAAGCAACAAUAUCUGAGUACAGACAUAAGUUAAACAAGUUUUCCUUAAGAAGGCUAGCACAAACUGGGAUACAGAUCGAAAGAAGCGUAGGCCUCCUGCCUGGGAUCCUCCUAACUACUCUUGGUCGUCGUCAGCGGCCUGCACGUAGUAGUAGGCACCUCCAGCGUAGUAGUCGUCGUCGACGGUGGCGUCUGGCUCCUGGACUCCAGCAUCUGGUUGCGACAACCAGAAAGAAAGGAAAGGGGGAGAAAGGGGGGAGAAAGCAACCAUGAGUACUCAUCCAAAGUACUCGCAAGCAAGGAACUACACUACAUAUGCAUGGGGUAUAUGUGUAAGGAGGCCAUAUCGGUGGACUGAACUGCCGAAUGCCAGAAUAAGAGGGGGAUAGCUAGUCCUAUCGAAGACUACGCUUCUGGCAGCCUCCGUCUUGCAGCAUGUAGAAGAGAGUAGAUUGAAGUCCUCCAAGUAGCAUCUCCAAGUAGCAACUCCAAGUAGCAACUCCAAGUAGCAUCUCCAGUAGCAUCGCAUAGCAUAAUCCUACCCGCGAUCCUCCCCUCGUCGCCCUAUGGAAAAGCGAUCACCGGGUUGUCUGAGGAACUUGGAAGGGUGUGUUUUAUUAAGUAUCCGGUUCUAGUUGUCAUAAGGUCAAGGUACAACUCCAAUUCGUCCUGUUACCGAAGAUCACGGCUAUUCGAAUAGAUUAACUUCCCUGCAGGGGUGCACCAACUUACCCAACACGCUUGAUCCCAUUUGGCCGGACACACUUUCCUGGGUCAUGCCCGGCCUCGGAAGAUCAACACGUCGCAGCCCCACCUAGGCAAAACAGAGAGGCCAGCACGCCGGUCUAAACCUAAGCGCACAGGGGUCUGGGCCCAUCGCCCAUAGCACACCUGCACGUUGCGAGGGCGGCCGGAAGCAGACCUAGCCUAGCAGGCGUUCCAGUCCAAUCCGGCGCGCGCCGCUCCGUCGCUGACGUCUGAAGUGCUUCGGCUGAUACCACGACGCCGGGAUACCCAUAACUACUCCCACGUAGAUGGUUAGUGCGUAUAGGCUUGUACCCAACUCAGAUCAAAUACCAAGAUCUCGUUAAGUGUGUUAAAUAUCCGCGAAUGCCGGACAGGGCCAGGCCCACCUGUCUCCUAGGUGGUCUCAACCUGCCCUGUCGCUCCGCCACAAAGUAACAGUCGGGGGCCGUCGGGAACCCAGGCCCACCUCUACCGGGAUGGAGCCACCUGCCCCUUCAGCCCCCAUCUCCGAACAGUAUCACAGGUAAUGUAACUAUGUAAAGUAUAUCGUAUAUGCCCGUGAUCACCUCCCGAAGUGAUCACGGCCCAGUAGUAUAGCAUGGCAGACGGACAAGAGUGUAGGGCCACUGAUGGAACACUAGCAUCCUAUACUAAGCAGUAGGAUAGCAGGUAAUGGUAACAACAGUAGUAGCAAGGACAGGCUAUGCAUCAGGAUAGGAAUAACGGAAAGCAGUAGCAUGCUACACUACUCUAAUGCAAGCAGUAUAGAGAAAAGAGUAGGCGAUAUCUGAUGAUCAAAGGGGGGGGGCUUGCCUGGUUGCUCUGGCAAGAGAGAGGGGUCGUCAACACCGUAGUCGAACUGGGGGUCGCCGGUAGUCUCGGGGUCUACCGGAAAGAAGUAACGGAGGGGGAACACAAUAAAUAACAGAGCAAUCAAAGUAUCACAAAGCGUAACAUGGCAAUACGCGGUGCUAGAGGUGACCUAGUGCUGUAGGAGGUGAUACUGGUGAAGGAGGGGAAACAUCCGGGAAAGUAUCCCCGGUGUUCCGUGUUUUCGGACAGAUGAUCCGAAGGGGGAAGGUUGCAUGUUUGAUAUGUUAGGAGUGUGUGGUGGACGAACGGGCUGCGUAUCCGGGUUCGUCUCGUCGUUCUGAGCAACUUUCAUGUUGAAAAUAUUUUAAUCCGAGUUACGGAUUAAAAGAUAUGAUUUUCUAAAGAUUUUAUUAAUUUUUGGGAUUUAAUUAAUUAUUUAAUUAAUUCGAAAAUGAUUUAAUGACAUCAGCAUGAUGUCAUGCUGACAUCAGUAGUCAACAGAGUUGACUGGUCAACCUGACAUGUGGGUCCAGUGGGACCCACCUGUCAUUCUCUGUUUAGGUUAAUUAUAGAUUAGUUAAUUUAAUUACUAUUUAAUUAACCUAACUAGCUAAUUAAAUUAAUUAAACCGGAUUAAUUAACUUAAUUAAUUCAUUAGAUAAUUAAUUAAUUAAUAAUUAAUCUUAUUAAAUCAUUUUUAUAUUUUUAUAUAUUUUUUAUUUUUUUAAUUCCCUUUUUUUUAAAAUGUUAUGGGACGUGGGCCCUGUAGUCAGUGGCACACAGGGCCAUAGCGGGUCGGGCGCUACGGGCGAAGCCCCAACCCGAUUGGGCGCUGGCCCAGGCGAACGGUGGGGGGGGGGGUGCCGGCGACGGGCGCAGGCCGGCGCGAGAUUGCGGCGGCAGGGCGGUGNNNNNNNNNNNNNNNNNNNNNNNNNNNNNNNNNNNNNNNNNNNNNNNNNNNNNNNNNNNNNNNNNNNNNNNNNNNNNNNNNNNNNNNNNNNNNNNNNNNNNNNNNNNNNNNNNNNNNNNNNNNNNNNNNNNNNNNNNNNNNNNNNNNNNNNNNNNNNNNNNNNNNNNNNNNNNNNNNNNNNNNNNNNNNNNNNNNNNNNNNNNNNNNNNNNNNNNNNNNNNNNNNNNNNNNNNNNNNNNNNNNNNNNNNNNNNNNNNNNNNNNNNNNNNNNNNNNNNNNNNNNNNNNNNNNNNGGCAGGGCGGUGCGUGGCGUGGUGGGAGCAGGGGGAACGACGGCGCGACAGUGGGGGGCUACGGCCAUGGCCGGGCGCCAGCUGCAGGCGGAGCCGGCGAGGUCAGAGGCGGAGCGGGGGCACGGCGAGUUGGACGGGGCGAGUGGGCGCGUUCACGAGGAGGGGCGAGCAAAGGCGGGAGCGCCGUCGUGCGCGCGUAGUCGACGCGGGCGGCGGGCGACGCACAGGGGCGGCAGAGGCGAGGGCCACCGCGGUAAGGUGCUAGGCGGGGGAAGGAGGACCGGGGUCCUCACCGUCCGUUGAGGGAAGGGGGCGUCGAGGCGCGAUGGCGACCGGUGGGGAGGAGGACGAGGAGGCGAUCCGGCGACGGCGACGGGGCGGCGUUGAGGCGAGGGAGAUCCAGUUGAGGGGGGCGCCGCACAGUCCAGUGGACGCCAUGGCCGCGGGGAGGAGGGCUCUGGCGUGGUGGCAUCGCGGGGGAGGACAGAGGCGCGGCGGGGCGGCGACCGGUGACGGAGCCCAGCGGCGAGGCGCGGGGUCGGGCGCCGGACGGCACGGCCGUUGCCCCGAUCCAGAGGGGAUCGAGGAGUGGGUGAGCGAGGGGAGUGGGGAUGGGAAGUGGCGACGUGGGGGUGUCGGUUAGGGUUUGGUGCCCCCAGGGGGUUAUAGGCCAGGGGAGGGAGUGGGCCGGCCUGGCAGGCCACUGGUUGGGCCGAAGCCCAAGGGGGGCAGGGGGUUUUCUCUUUCUUUUUUUGUAGUUUUGUUUUAUGUUUUUAUUUUUUUUUAUUAUUUUUCUUUAUUUUCUUUUACUAUUUUAGCUCAUUUUGAAAAUAUAGGCCUUAUAUAAAAACAUGGUUUCUACAUGACAAUUAGUUAGGGAAUAUUUUCAACACAUCGAACAUUUUAGUUUGACUUUUGAAAACUUUAAUUGUUUUAACUUUAAUUCAAAUUUAGAAUUUUAAUCCGUUUCGAUCUAACAUGGAAUUAUCAACAAUAACCGAGGUGAUGUGGCAUCGUUAACAUGGGAUUACUGUAGCCUGAUUACCCGGGCGUCACAUGUUAUAUGCACGAGUAGAACACAAGUGAGUUGUGGGCGAUACAAGUCAUACUGCUUACCAGCAUGUCAUACUUUGGUUCGGCGGUAUUGUGAGAUGAAGCGGCCUGGACCGAUAUUACGCGUACGCUUACGCGAGACUGGUUUCACCGUUACGAGCACUUGUGCUUAAAGGUGGCUGGCGGGUGUCUGUCUCUCUCACUUUAGCUGAAUCGAGUGUGGCUACACUCGGUCCUUGCGAAGGUUAAAACAGCACUAACUUGACGAACUAUCGUUGUGGUUUUGAUGCGUAGGUAAGAACGGUUCUUGCUAAGCCCGUAGCAGCCACGUAAAAUUUGCAACAACAAAGUAGAGGACGUCUAACUUGUUUUUGCAGGGCAUGUUGUGAUGUGAUAUGGUCAAGACGUGAUGCUAUAUUUUAUUGUAUGAGAUGAUCAUGUUUUGUAACCGAAGUUAUCGGCAACUGGCAGGAGCCAUAUGGUUGUCGCUUUAUUGUAUGAAAUGCAAACGCCCUGUAAUUGCUUUACUUUAUCACUAAGCGGUAGCGAUAGUCGUAGAAGCAAUAGAUGGCGUAACGAUAACGAUGCUACGAUGAAGAUCAAGGUGUCGCGCCGGUAAUGAUGGUGAUCACGACGGUGCUUCGAAGAUGGAGAUCACAAGCACAAGAUGAUGAUGGCCAUAUCAUAUCACUUAUAUUGAUUGCAUGUGAUGUUUAUCCUUUAUGCAUCUUAUCUUGCUUUGAUUGACGGUAGCAUUUUAAGAUGAUCUCUCACUAAUUAUCAAGAAGUGUUCUCCCUGAGUAUGCACCGUUGCGAAAGUUUUUCGUGCUGAGACACCACGUGAUGAUCGGGUGUGAUAGGCUCUACGUUCAAAUACAACGGGUGCAAAACAGUUGCACACGCGGAAUACUUGGGUUAAACUUGACGAGCCUAGCAUAUACAGAUAUGGCCUCGGAACACGGAGACCGAAAGGUCAAGCGUGAAUUAUAUAGUAGAUAUGAUCAACAUAAUGAUGUUCACCAUUGAAACUACUCCAUCUCACGUGAUGAUCGGACAUGGUUUAGUUGAUUUGGAUCACGUGAUCACUUAGAUGACUAGAGAGAUGUCUGUCUAAGUGGGAGUUCUUAAGUAAUAUGAUUAAUUGAACUUAAAUUUAUCAUGAACUUAGUCCAGGUAGUAUUUUGCAAAUUAUGUUGUAGAUCAAUAGCUCGCGUUGUUGUUUUCAUAUGUUUAUUUUGAUAUUUUCCUAUAGAAAAUUGUGUUGAAAGAUGUUAGUAGCAAUGAUGCGGAUUGGAUCCGUGAUCUGAGGUUUAUCCUCAUUGCUCCACAGAAGAAUUAUGUCCUUAAUGCACCGCUAGGUGACAGACCUAUUGCAAGAGCAGAUGCAGACGUUAUGAACGUUUGGCUAGCUCAAUAUGAUGACUACUAGAUAGUUUAGUGCACCAUGCUUAAACGGCUUAGAAUCGGGACUUCAAAGACAUUUUGAACGUCAUGGACCAUAUGAGAUGUUCCAGGAGUUGAAGUUAAUAUUUCAAGCAAAUACCCGAGUUGAGAGAUAUGAAGUCUCCAACAAGUUCUAUAGCUAAAAGAUGGAGGAGAAUCGCUCAACUAGUGAGCAUGUGCUCAGAUUGUCUGGGUACUUCAAUUGAUUGCAUGUGAUGUUUAUCCUUUAUGCAUCUUAUCUUGCUUUGAAGAAUUUCUGGCGCCGUUGCCGGGGAGUUUGUGCAAAAGUCAACUAUACCAAGUACCCAUCACAAUCCCUAUCUCUCGCAUUACAUUAUUUGCCUCUCGUUUUCCUCUCCCCCACUUCACCCUUGCCGUUUUAUUCGCCCUCUCUUUCCCAAUCUCCUCCUCUCUUUUCCUUUCGCCCUUUUUCUCGCUUGCCUUUUUGCUUGCUCGUGUGUUAGUUUGUCGCAAUGGCUCUCCCUAAAUUUGGUGAUCUUCACCUUAGAAGGCUAGAGGAGAUCGAAAGUAAUGUCAGGAAGUUUAUGGUUUUGCAAUUUGAGCAUAAUAAUUUCUUUAGAAACGAGCUUAAGGAACAAAAAGGUUUUAUGAGUUAUAUGAAUAAAGAACUCGAUGAUAUGUCUAAAGAAUUCGAUGGUAUAAGAGCCCAAAUUGCUCGUCUUGAAAAGAUGACCGCUGAAAUCUCGGAUAUGCAAGCUACCUUAGUCAAUAAGAUGGCCGCUAAACCGAAUUCCUAUGAAAAUCAAGAUGAAGAUCUAAAAGUUAUUGAUGUGUCCCCUAUUAAAUCUUUGUUUUGCAAUAUGAAUCUUGAUGAAACUGAAUAUGAUCUUCCUUUACCUAGAAGGCGUUCUAAGAAUUCGUAGUUUCUAGAUCUUGAUGAUGAAAUUGAUGAAAGUCGGAUUGAAAAAAAUAAAAACCUAGAUGUUGCUAAACCCACUAUUUUGGAUCUCAAGGAAUUUAAUUAUGAAAAUUGCUCUUUGAUUGGUUGUAUUUCCUUGUUGCAAUCCGUGCUAGAUUCUCCUCAUGCUUAUAGUCAAAAUAAGGCCUUUACCGAACACAUUGUUGAUGCCUUGAUGCAAUCUUAUGAAGAAAAACUUGAGUUAAAAGUUUCUAUCCCUAGAAAACUCUAUGAUGAGUGGGAACCUACUAUCAAAAUUAAAAUUAAAUAUUAUGAGUUUCAUGCUUUGUGUGAUUUGGCUGCUAGUGUCUCCACUAUUCCCAAAACUUUGUGUGAUUUUCUAGAUUUCCGUGACUUUGAAGAUUGCUCUUUAAACUUGCAUCUUGCGGAUUCCAUUAUUAAAAAGCCUAUGGGAAGAAUUAAUGAUGUUCUUAUUGUUGCAAAUAGGAAUUAUGUGCCCGUAGAUUUUAUCGUUCUUGAUAUAGAUUGCAAUCCUUCAUGUCCUAUUAUUCUUGGUAGACCUUUCCUUAGAACGUUUGGUGCGAUUAUUGAUAUGAAGAAAGGGAAUAUUAGAUUUCAAUUUCCCUUAAGAAAGGGUAUGGAACACUUUCCUAGAAAGAAAAUAAAAUUACCAUAUGAAUCUAUCAUGAGAGCCACUUAUGGAUUGCCUAUCAAAGAUGGCAAAACCUAGAUCUAUCCUUGUUUUUAUGCCUAGCUAGGGGCGUUAAACGAUAGCGCUUGUUUGGAGGCAGCCCAAUUUUAUUUUUUGUUUUUUGUUUUUGUUACUGUUUAGUGUUAAAUUUUGUUUCUACUUUCUGUUUAGAUGUGUUUUUAUGCACUAAUUAGUGUUUGUGCCAAGUAGAACCUAUAGGAUAAGUUAUUAUGAUAGUUGAUUUGAUUCUAUUGAAAAAUAGAAACUUUGCGCUCACGAGAAAAAAUUCAAAAAAUCACAGAAACGUGCUUUUGCAUUGAUUCUUUUUUAUGCUGGUCAAUAAACAAAUUGUCCAGUACGUCCUAUUUUGGUAGAAUUUUUAGUGUUCCAGAAGUUUGCGUUAGUUACAGAUUACUACAGACUAUUCUGUUUUUAACAAAUUCUGUUUUUCGUGUGUUGUUUGCUUAUUUCAAUGCAUCUAUGGCUAAUAAAUUAGUUUAUAAACCAUAAGGAAGUUGGAAUACAGUAGGUUUAACACCAAUCUCUACUUCUAAUGGACGACUUGGUGAAUAGUCCACGCGGUUUGUUUUCGCUGGUUUAUUUUUGUAAUCCUCCCACCUCCGUUUUAUUUUCGUCAUCCUCCCACCUCCCCAUCGACGCUGGUUUAUUAUUCAUCGGUUUAUUUACCCCUCAGCUCUUUCCUUGCAAAUCAGCAUUUCCAAACGUACACGCAAUCACGGAUCUACCUUUACUAACUUACCCAAAUCAAUCGAUACCUCCCAUUAUUGUAAAUUUCUUUAGGAAACAAAUAAUAGAUUUUAAGAAAAAGUAGAAUAACAGUUAGAUCGCACGUCCCCUCCUCCCACCCCAUCCCACGCACGCACCCCGCAGGAAACACCGUUCCUCUCGAUCCCCACCCGUCGCCGCCGCCCUCAGCUCUCGAUCCCCUCGAGUAAGCGGCGCCGCCGUCGGCUCUCCAUCCCCUCGAUUAAAUGGUGCCGUCGUCAUCUCUCGAUCCCCUCGAGAUCGCUGCGCCGCCAUCGUCUCUCGAUCCCCUCGAGACCCCCAGGUCUCACACCACCACCGCCGGUGCCUCCUCCUCUGGCGACGCGGCGAACGAGAGCAGGGCCAUAGCAGGGGCGGCCGCCUCGUGCCCCCGAUGUCCAGGGCCCCCUCCGAUAUGCUGCAGGCCCAUGGCCCAAGCCCCAAGGAAACCAAGGACUCCGACGCAAGUAGUCGGUAGCGGCGAGUAUGUCUAAGAUCGUCGUGUUUUCUUCCCCAUCGAGUUCGCCUGUUGACUGGUUCGCGGAGGUUUCAGCAGACCCGUUUUUGCCCUGGAUGUGAGUCGUGUACCGGCGACUCUGGCGGUCCGACCUCAUGCACGUCGUCCUCACCAUCAACCCCAAGUCCCUCCUCCAGUGGAUCAUUGAACUCCGCAACCAAUUUCUUCGACGCUGUCAUGCAGGUUCGAGUCCACACAGCGAGGAGAUUGAUUCGUCCGUGCUUGUUUCAGUCCAGAUACAUACGGUAUGUUGAUAAUUUGUUGAGUUUUUAUUUAUCUGGUAAUUUUUCUUCAUGGCAGAGGGGCAACUCUGAAUUAUAUACGAGGAUCCUGGGAGUCAAGGGCUUCAAGGUCGAGUCAUCUUCAGGUGUGUAUGCGUGUGUACAAUUAGGUUUCUUUUCAGUGUACUCCCCCUGUCUCUCUCUCUCUCAUGUGUGUCUGAUUUAUGAUUUUAUUUAACUCAGAAAUUCAUGCUAGGGAAACGGCAAUAAGUGUUUGAUGAUCACUCAGCCACGGAUGCUAAAAUUAUAGAGAAUUGAUAAAUUAUAAGAUCUAUCACCUAUUAAAUUGACAUGCAUCCAUGGUCUCCACAGCGGGGGAGAAGAGCGAGGACAUGCGCUGGAGGAGGAACAACAUGGGUGCGUCUUUUUCCUCGUGUGCAGCAGCAGCCUCACUAAGGUGACAUACUACGCAGAACCCUUCCUUGCUGGGUUUCUGUGACUCCUUGCCGGUGAACGGCAUUUGGAUGACGCCUCGGUUGGUUGAUUUACUAAUUGGAGUCUGGAAUUCUUUUCGUACUAGGGAUCCAAGUGUGAGCACCGGCACUGCGAGGGCGCCCAGUUCAACCCCAGGAACUGCUGGUACUGGUUGCACGUUAGCUGCAUCAACCCAAGCCGCACCUUUCACCAACAUGUGUGUGACCCUCGAGUUGAUUUGUGUGGGUGCUUCUGUAAUCGCAAAAAUAAGAAAUGCGUGUGCUUCUAUGCUUGGUUGCAUGCCUAGGACGCUUUCGUCCGGUGGUUAGUCAUGGGUGUCAUUAUUACGCUUGUGCCAGCCUAACUUGGGCUGCAAUGUAAUUUGUUCCCUAAUGAUGAUGUAUUAUUUUCUAUGGAGAAUAGGCUCUAUUGCGAUCUCCAUCCGAGAAUUAGCUCUCCAUCCAAGAAUUAGCUUCCAACUCUAAAAAGGUACUGCUGCUGAACCAGGAAAACCAUCUAUGAGUUUCUCAUUUGUUCAAUUAUUUUCUUCUUCCGUUCUUGUUUGUUAUUCAAUGAUACUAGCUAGCAUGGUGCUGGCGAACGCCUGCAAUGGCACGCAGUGGAAGGUAAAAACCAAGGCAUGUCCCCUCGGCCCCUCCUUACUUUUAGUUGUCAUAUUGAUCUGACAUGUUGCUGAAGCGUUUGCUUCAGACCUUAGACCAUGGGCACCUUUUGAUUUCACUGAAUAUUCUGCUAUAUAUAAGGACUAAGCUAGCAUCUUGAAUUGACAUGUUCAGUACAAGGGUACAACUAGAAAUCCUAAUAAUUUGUAUGUCCACACGCUCUUUACAAAUGCCAUCUGUACAUUACAUGUGUGUGUACUGUUCUCUCACUACUAAGGUGUUUUAUGAGUUGAAGUGUUGUUCUCAUUGUUGUAAUGUUGAAAUAGACAGAACUCUGUUCUUCAUGAUCCAUUCGGGGUAAGGGUGGACAAUGAGCUACUUUGUUAACUGACGACGAACUGAAUCUGGUUAAAAGGUAAAUAAGCUUUUGAACUUUAUACAAAAAAAGUUUGCACCGAGCAGUUGGAUCCACUAACUUGCCUUAAAGCCAUGUUCAGAAACACACAUUUCAUUUUGCCAUCUUCAGAAACAUGCAACAGGCUCAAAAAAUAAGGUUGCAGCUCUUAUUAGUGUUAAAUGUUAGCAACUAUCUCGCACACGAGCGUGGUGUAGGUCGCAGCCAUGUGAGAUGCGAGCAGCAGUCGGCAGCCUGGGGCGGCAGGCGGGGCCACCGCGUGAUGACGGGUUCAACGGAUUCAUACCCAUACCGAUGUAUGUUGAGCUUGCCCUUGUUGUGUUUUUGAUAAUGAUGGUUGGGCUUUUCAUGAUGAAUCUUGUGUAUGCAUUCUAAUUUCAACAGAAUAACCAACUUUUAUCAUGGAUCUACACUCUGCAAUGAAAUUUGGUAUAUAGUAUAUAUGAUCUUGGUUUGUUAUUUUGAAUACAUAUGAUACUGGAUAUGUCUUCUUUGGGUCUCCAAAUGAUUUGAAAGAUUGGAUGCCAGAAAAUAGAUUGAGCAACCAUUACACAUUAGACUAAUUUAUAUGGCAUGUUACCUGGCCGUUCCCUUUCUUUUCUUUGUACACAAUAGUAUAGUUCUUUAUACCAACUGUAUCAACAUACUCAUUUGCCACUGAAACUUAUAUAUGUUUUCUAUUUCAAAAAUUAAUUGACUAUGAAGCAGGAAGAGAUGUCGAACUAUAGUGCCCUGAUAUAUUCCUUCGUUUCCUGGUAAGUUUACCUACGAUGGUUGUGUGCUAGGUAAUAGGCUAACUCUUUUGUUUGAAUCAUUAUCAUUAACUCAUUAGCUCUACUCCUAAUGUCUGAGUUGGUAGGAUUGCGUCCACGGCUUUUUUCGUCCCACCACUUUCAUCUGGUAUUUUUUCGUCCCCUCCCCCAACCCCACCCCACCUACUCAGCCCAACAAAACCCCCCAAAAAACCACUCCUAUCGAUACCUCGAGGACAUGACGCGAUCGUCGUGCGAUCUCGAGGUCAGAGCACUGCCUCCCCUCGAUCGCCACCUCUGACGUACGAUCUUGCCGCCACCGACCUCACAGAGGAGAUGCUGCCGCAGACGUCCAGGAACACCGCCGCGGACGUCCGGGAUCGCCGCCCCGACCUCCCAGAGGAGAUGACGCCGCCGCCGACCUCCGAGGGGAGACGCCGCCGCCACCUGCGCUAAAUCCUAGGCAUACACCACCGUGCUCCCGCCGUCGGGUUCCACAACCGUUCGCCACCAUGCUAUUGCCUUCCUCCCUCAGGUUCAUCUCCCCUUUUUUCUGUUUGGAUCAAGACGGCGAGAAUCAAAUCUGAGACGGAGAGAAUCGGAUCAGGAUAGAGAGACGGAAUGAGGAUUGAUGCCAUGGGAUCCCUUGCUAAAAUUGAGAGGGAGGGAGGGAGGGAGGGAAAGGGUAUCCUUGUGCAGGGCUGUUUGGACCUCGUUCAGUCCAUUUUAGCAUGAAAAAAGUUGCCACGGGCUAAUGCAACGGCCUGCACGGCACACCACGGCCUGCUACCUAAGGGUUUGCCUCAGUUUUCCGUUUUUUGGGUAAAGCAAAUUUCCCCCAAUAUACAGAUAUGCUAUGACAUAAACAUGUCAAAACCAUCAAGGUUAAAUUUAUAUGCACUGGAAUUUUAUAGAUUUGUUUUAGCAUGUGCAAGUCUAUUAGAUAGUAUUUUGGACAGAGUUAAGGAUAGUCUUUUGUGGCUAACUAUAGUAUUUUGUGGCCUAAGUGUAUAAGUGAAAUGGCCUAAUCUAUGUACUCCGGUGAUUGUUGGAUCUGCAUGGGAUGACAGAUGGGAGGGGGGCAGUUACAAUGUCACUUGCUACUGGAUCUCGGUCCACCGAGCAGCCGCUUCUGAGAAGAGAAAAUGUUCUAUAUUGACAUGCAUGUGAUUAAUAAUGAAUGGUACAUGGUUCCUACACUUAGUUGAUAUUGUGUUUAAAUUUUCUUUACUUGAUCAUGUUACUUGCAGGAAAUUGCCAUAUUUGGACACAGAUUCCUGAUUUCCUCACUUCCUCAAGGCGAAGAGGCGAAGGCUAUUGUCGAUGUGCGAAUGUGGCACCACUACUCUUUACUGUGAUGAGGAGGUACAACUUCUAACUGAGUGUGAAUUCAAUACUAUCUUUAUUUUGCAAAAGCUAUACUGGUCUUCGUGUUUAUUAUGCAUUAUUCCUUUUAGACUUUAGGAUUGCUAUAUUCAAGUUUUGCUUCUGGCCUGCUUUGGAUUAAGGUAGAUAUUUGUUCACGGGCCGAAAAAUCUGAUUUUGGUUAUGCAGUUCAUUUUCUUACAUCGCACACGACAAAGUAGUAACUAAUUACUUUACCCAGGAUGAGAUAUUUGGAUGAAAUUGGACUUAAGUUUUUGCAAGCUUGAUGCACACUUAAAUACUGGUGAUAUCACAUUCAUAACUAAUUUGAUUUCUCCCAAGCUACAGUAUGGUCACUACUCUAUUUCUUGAAGGAUAAAUCGAUAUUUAAAUAAUUGACGUAUUCUAGCAGCAUAUGAAGUUAAAGUAGAGGUAGAACUAGAACCGUACAAGUACUUUGAUGUCGUGUGUCAUGUACUGUGAUCACAAGACAAUUUGAAUGUUCUACCUUAUUUACAGUUUACUCAUGCAAGCUUCUUUAAUUUGAAAUAAAAAUGAGUAUUCAGCCAGACGAAUUGCUCUUACAGUCCAUUCCUGUUGAACAUGUAUGUUUCUAGGAUGAUACCAAUUCAAAUGGUUUCUUGGUUUCUUGAAUGACAGGUUUGCAAACCUUUAUACGAGUUUUGAGUUUCGACCACAUCUAAAAUGAUUUCUAUGUAGAUGAGUGACUUGCUACAUGUGUGGUGAAAUGUGUUUUUGACCACAUUUAAAAUGAUUUCUAUCUAACUUUACUCAGAUUCAGUGAAGGAGAAUCUAAUGAGGAGUCGGAUGUGCAGUCAUCAAAAGCCCCAUGACAAACUCUGUGCCUGUCGCUCCCAUCAACAACAACCAAAUGGUGUAACAUUCCUUAGGUCUUCAUGCAUUUAACCUAUUAUUACUGGACUGGUUUUGGUAAGCCAACUAAGAAACAUUUUGAUCUCAAAAAAUAAUAUUUGUAACUAAGGAGCAAUAUCACGGCAAUCUUUGGUAAGCAAAAGUACUCAGAUUUUUUUGGUAAGCCAACUAAGAAACAUUUUCAUCUACCAAAGAAACUCAGAUUUCUUUAAAGGACAGACCCAGUGCAUAGAAGCUCCCACACAAGGUGGGGUCUGGGGAGGGAUUAUAGGAACCUAGUCUUACCCCUGCAAAGUGCAAUGCAGAGAGGCUGGUUCGAACCCAGGACCUCUUGGCACAAGUGGGGAGGACUUCACCAUUGCGCUAGGCGUGCCCUCAAAGAAACUCAGAUUUCUUUGGUAAAUAAAAACUAAGAAACAUAUUUUUACAAAGAAAACUUUGGUAACCAACAAAUUUAGAUCAAUUGAAGUAUUUAAUCAAUAAUUUUCUACAGUAUGUUUACUGAUAUAGGUGGCACAAUAGAACGAAAUGCUGACCAGGCCAGCUAACUUAAUCAGCCUGGGAUCAACUUCCUAAACCCGACACUCCUUCCUAACACACCAUCCUUCCAUGUUGUCGAUCCUUCGUUCCCCGUCUCUGAUCAUAUCUGAUCUAGGGUUAAUAGUCAUUCUUUUUGUGCUUCUCCCACAAAAGCUUUUUCCUGCAAUAUGCAUCAAUUCGUCUUUUCCAGGAUUCUCAGAGUUCACGUUCGCAAGGAACUCACAAAUCUUGGUGGCUAAAAGGUGCCCAAGCUUAGGCAACAACACUCCGGCCACAACAAUUUCGUCAGCCAUAGGAACCACACCUCCAAAGGCCUGAGCGAGAGUGAGCGUGUGUCGACCAUGCCUGGACCACCACUCUCCACAUAUGUAUACUACGGCUGGCUAGGCUCCAAUAGAGGCUGAGAGACUCCUAAUAUAUGGUCCGUAGUCAUUUCAUUUCGCUACAUUGAUCGAAGCCGCGAGUCAAUCGAAAGGAAAUCCCCCACCGUCGAAGGAAGUCAAUCUCACCUCGAGUCCCGACCCCACCUCUCGUUUUCCCUUCCUAAUCUCCCGAUAAAGAUCCACAUCCCUCCUCCACCGCCAUCUCCAUCCUCUGCACCCCUCGCCUUUGCAAUCCAUCCUCCAUCCAGUUUUCCUUUUGUUUUCUAUCCCAAAAAAUCAGAUCGCAAUCCAUCUUUCCUUUAAUGCACAUCUCUCCUGUAAAAAAUCAGAACACAUGCCCGUCCUUCUCAUUAACAUGCGUUUCUUCUGAAUAUCUGGGAUGCAAUCCUCUCCUUCCCACUAAUCUCUUAUAUAUAUGCCUUUCCUAAAGAUAUCUCGGUCCUGCCCAGCUUGAUCUAAUUCAAUUUAGAUGAAGGAUACUUUCAGGAACAAGACGAUCUACUCAAAGGCUGGCUUGCUCCGCGGCCUCCACCUCGCCCACCUCAUCCCGUAGACAUUGUCGUCCUCCACACGACCACACCAGCUUUCACGAUUUGGGUCUAUGGCAGGCAUAAACUAUGAGAAUUUGACUGGUCGUUUUCAUCGCAGGCGGCUGCGGCGAGGACGUGUGGAAGGCAACAGCUCGGACUUGAUGCCCUUUGCCUCCGUCAAGGACACUGUCAAUGGUGCGUAAUCUCAAACCUCCUUUUGACGUAUUUGUGCUCGUGAAACAAGUAUUCGGCCUGGCCGAUGGCAAAACGCAAAUAUGGCAAAGCUGGCUUGACUUGAGAUGGAUUGAAUCUGGUACAACGUGGCUAGCCAAAAGGUGGCUAGCAAAGCACGCACACACACUGGCAUGUGUAACAUAUUUGUUGUUUGUAAACUCACAAUGAUUACAAUGUGAGCUACAUGCAUUUAUACUAACAUAACAUCAUCUGCCUAAGUAGAGUUAGGAUUUCUAUACUACUUGAACAAUCAAUGAGAUCUAUAGGAAAGCGGAAGAGAGAACUAGCAAGCCGGUGAUUUUACUGUUUUAUCUAGAUUCAUUGUGCUAAAUCAAGUAGUUCUAACCUAGCUGUUACAGGAUUCACCGAUUUAGUCCAUGUUUUGCUUUUCCAGUUUUAGUGAAUGGGGUGGAUUUUGAAAUCUCAUAUUUCAGUUAGUUUUUGGUCGGUCAGCUUGAGUAGUAGGGUCCGUUUGGAUGGAAGCCGUUAACUGAGGACACAUGCAAGCGUUUGGAUGGCUGCCCAAAAUUCUGAUGUAGCCAAUUUUUUGUUUAAUACAUUCAGUUUUUCCACAAACCACGGGGCGAUUCAGCGGAGGCGAAACCUUCUGCUAAAAAGUUGGCACGCCUAGCGUUGGCAGGGCGGUUGCAGGCGCUAUCCAAACAACCCCGUAUUCUCUUUUUUUUUCUCAGUUGGUAUUUCAUAUAGGCCACCUUGCUAUGUUAUAUAAGAUACUCAUAUAGGAGGUCAAGCUUGAAAAAGGUAGAAUUUUCAACAAGUCAAGAAUCAUGUUAACCAGGUUGUCAUGAUAUUUCCGCUGCUUCAAAAUGCUCCAUGAGAUGUUAGGUAACAUGCCUCUGAAUGUUGAUUUCUUUUUACAGAAUUUUGACUGUUUAUGUAGACUUUGGUUCAUUAUGACAACGGCAAAGAUCACUUUGAGGCGCUCGCCAUGGCAGACGGGGAUGGGGUGGCGCCGGGUACACUGUUGAUAACAAAAAUGUUGUGACGGUUCCAAAUGAGAACUGAACUUACUGCACUAAUAUUCAGUUAUAUAUCAAGUCGGCAAAUGUUUGUGUGUUCUGUAAAAUAGCAUGGCAAAUUUUAGUCCAAAUGUUGUCUGUCUUCAGUUAUCUAAAAACUAGCAUGGCCAAUUUGUACAUGAUACAAUUUUUCAGCAUGGCAAAUUAGUUAAUAAAUUGUAAAAAAGGUGGUACCAAAUAAACUUGUAUACGGUUAUGUAGCAUCCUAAUUUUUCGUAUAGCAACUAAGCCAUCAGUAUCCU